GGGGCGGCCCCGCCGGGCCUGAGGCUCCGCGGCUCGGAGCGGCCGCGGCGUCCAGGAGCGAGCGGGGGUCACAGAACCGUGGAACGGCUUGGGUUGGAAAGGACCUUAAGGAUCACCCAGUUCCGACCUGCCUGCUGUGGGCAAGAACACCUUCCACUGAGAGCUCUAUCCAGCCUAGCCUUGAGCACUUCCCAGGGAUGAGGCAUCCACAACUUCUCUGAGCAACCUGUUUCAGUGCCUCGCCACCCUCGCAGUUUGUGAUGCCAUUGCUCUGAGUACACUUGAAGGGAGACUGCAAAAUCAGCUUGAUAACCCAUGGAAGAGCCAGGUGUGAACUGAGGGGAAAUGACCACAGGGAGAAGCUUUUCACCAACAACCCACGUCUGCUCUUUGUGGACUCACCUCCGUUUACAGAAAUCAGGGCACUGGC